GAGAGAGAGAGAGAGAGAGAGAGACAUGAAAACUGUAAAUGACCCUGGGAAUCGAUAGAACAUCGCUCAGAGAAGCACAAAAACAAUAUAACAUUCAAAAUGGGUGAAUCUUUCCUUUAAAGCAGGUUGAAGUUUAUUGGGACGGGUCUUGUCCUUGAGGCAGAACUGACUGAUUUACGCUAUAUGGGCCAUCUGUAAAAUUGUAUGAACACAAAUAUGUGCUUUUUAGUCUUCAUUUAAGGCUAGGGUAAGGCAUUAAGGUUAGUAGUGUGGUUAAGGUUAUGGUCAUUUAAGGCUAGGGUAAGGCAUUAAGGUUAGCAGUGUGGUUAAGGUUAUGGUUAUUUAAGGCUAGGGUAAGGCAUUAAAGUUAGUAGUGUGGUUAAGGUUAUGGUCAUUUAAGGCUAGGGUAAGGCAUUAAGGUUAGUAGUGUGGUUAAGGUUAUGGUUAUUUAAGGCUAGGGUAAGGCAUUAAAGUUAGUAGUGUGGUUAAGGUUAUGGUCAUUUAAGGCUAGGCAUUAAAGUUAGUAGUGUGGUUAAGGUUAUGGUUAUUUAAGGCUAGGGUAAGGCAUUAAAGUGAGUAGUGUGGUUAAGGUUAUGGUCAUUUAAGGCUAGGCAUUAAAGUUAGUAGUGUGGUUAAGGUUAUGGUUAUUUAAGGCUAGGGUAAGGCAUUAAAGUGAGUAGUGUGGUUAAGGUUAUGGUCAUUUAAGGCUAGGGUAAGGCAUUAAGGUUAGCAGUGUGGUUAAGGUUAUGGUCAUUUAAGGUUAGGGUAAGGCAUUAAGGUUAGCAGUGUGGUUAAGGUUAGGAUUACUGCAUCUCAGUGCUUGAGGCGUCACUACAGACCCUGGUUCGAUUGCAGGCUGUAUCACAACUGGCCAUGAUUGGUAGUUCCAUACGGCGGAGCACAAUUGGCCCAGCGUUGUCCGGGUUACGGUUUGGCUGGGGUAGGCCGUCAUUGUCAAUUUGAAUUUGUUCUUAAUAAUCAGAUUAGGUAAAUGUUUGGGUAAUCCAAAAAUUACACACACACACACGCACACGCACACGCACACACACACACACACACACACACACACACACACACACACACACACACACACACACACACAUUGUUUUCUGUAUAAACUAGGGUAACAGUAGCCAUCCAUCCACCCCUAGGACACCUCAGCCCAACACCUCCACUUCAGUUUAAGGCUUGUCUGGAACAAUGGAUGAAUACUGUAAGAGGCUGAGCAGUGAGGGCUUAUUCUGAGGUCACUGAUAGGGAUUCAGACCUCUCAGUAUCUUUCUCUGAGCCAUUCCUGAGAGAGAGAGAGAGAGAGAGAGAGAGAGAGAGAGAGAGAGAGACUGGGUCCCUCAGUUGCUGUCCUUGUAUGGGUACUGCUCCUAUUGUACUGGACUAAGUGUGGAACUAUUCAGUUGGAGGACGAGGAACGUCUCUAAACAACCACUACAACUCAUUACCGGACCCUCACUCUAACACUGACAGGUGUGUGUGUGUGUGUGUGUGUGUGUGUGUGUGUGUGUGUGUGUGUGUGUGUGUGUGUGUG